rnacentral:rRNA from 1 species
GAUGAACGCUGGCGGCGUGCCUAAUACAUGCAAGUCGAACGAAACUUCUUUAUCACCGAGUGCUUGCACUCACCGAUAAAGAGUUGAGUGGCGAGCGGGUGAGUAACACGUGGGCAACCUGCCCAAAAGAGGGGGAUAACACUUGGAAACAGGUGCUAAUACCGCAUAACCAUAGUUACCGCAUGGUAACUAUGUAAAAGGUGGCUAUACUACCGCUUUUGGAUGGGCCCGCGGCGCAUUAGCUAGUUGGUAGGGUAAAGGCUUACCAAGGCAAUGAUGCGUAGCCGAAUUGAGAGGUUGAUCGGCCACAUUGGGACUGAGACACGGCCCAAACUCCUACGGGAGGCAGCAGUAGGGAAUCUUCCACAAAGGGCGAAAGCCUGAUGGAGCAACGCCGCGUGGGUGAAGAAGGUCUUCGGAUCGUAAAACCCUGUUGUUAGAGAAGAAAGUGCGUGAGAGUAACUGUUCACGUUUCGACGGUAUCUAACCAGAAAGCCACGGCUAACUACGUG